UACGUAGGGGGCAAGCGUUGUCCGGAAUUAUUGGGCGUAAAGCGCGCGCAGGCGGUUCAUUAAGUUUGGUGUUUAAGUCCGGGGCUCAACCCCGGUUCGCACUGAAAACUGGUGGACUUGAGUGCAGGAGAGGAAAGUGGAAUUCCACGUGUAGCGGUGAAAUGCGUAGAGAUGUGGAGGAACACCAGUGGCGAAGGCGACUUUCUGGACUGUAACUGACGCUGAGGCGCGAAAGCGUGGGGAGCAAACAGG
rnacentral:rRNA from 1 species